AGAAGCAUGUGUUGUUGCGGAUGCAGAUUCCUCCGUGUUCGCAUGCAGGUUCGCACCUCGCCUUGGGGUCAAAAACGAACCCGACCGCGACUCCCCGGGGCGCGUCCGAGCCCGCGGAGCAAAGAGCGACCACGGCGGCCAAGAGCACCGUCAAACCAAGACCCACAAAACCCAUGUUUGGUGUUUUGGUUUUGUUUGUCUCUACUGGGGAGAAAAAAAAGAGCGAGAGAGAGAAAGAGGGGGAAUGAGCAAGCAGACAGCGGUGGACGGAGAUGGAGGAGAAGGUACCGAGACUUCCCCUCGUCGCCGCCGCUGUUGAUUUUCUGGGAAACACGAACAGACCUGCACAUGUCCAUGCAAGGAGGUGGUGUUCCCCCCACAGUCCACAUACUGGUACAUCUCCUGGGAGACCUGCUCCGCGUGGCCAAAGUAUGACGUAGUCACCGUCACCCUGAAAAACCACCAGAGAGUCAACAACUGUACAUCCCAUAACAAGUUGUGUUGCUGUUUUCCUGGUAAAGCCAACUGUUUGAUUCAUUCUCCCAAGAUGUCUAGACACAGACUAAAUCACCGUUUUUGAGGUGGGUAAAGACAUCUUUUGUUAAAUGCAUCAAACUGAAGCAAGGGGUAUUUAGGGCAUUAUGGUAUUAAAAUAAAAAACAUUGAAUUGCAAGAGUGGGCGUUA